UACGAAGGGGGCUAGCGUUGCUCGGAAUCACUGGGCGUAAAGGGUGCGUAGGCGGGUCUUUAAGUCAGGGGUGAAAUCCUGGAGCUCAACUCCAGAACUGCCUUUGAUACUGAAGAUCUUGAGUUCGGGAGAGGUGAGUGGAACUGCGAGUGUAGAGGUGAAAUUCGUAGAUAUUCGCAAGAACACCAGUGGCGAAGGCGCUCACUGGCCCGAUACUGACG
rnacentral:rRNA from 1 species